UGGGGAAUAUUGGACAAUGGGGGAACCCUGAUCCAGCCAUGCCGCGUGUGUGAAGAAGGCCUUUUGGUUGUAAAGCACUUUAAGCGAGGAGGAGGCGCUCUAGGAUAAUACCCUAGAUGCGUGGACGUUACUCGCAGAAUAAGCACCGGCUAACUCUGUGCCAGCAGCCGCGGUAAUACAGAGGGUGCGAGCGUUAAUCGGAUUUACUGGGCGUAAAGCGCGCGUAGGUGGCUAAUUAAGUCAAAUGUGAAAUCCCCGAGCUUAACUUGGGAAUUGCAUUCGAUACUGGUUAGCUAGAGUAUGGGAGAGGAUGGUAGAAUUCCAGGUGUAGCGGUGAAAUGCGUAGAGAUCUGGAGGAAUACCGAUGGCGAAGGCAGCCAUCUGGCCUAAUACUGACACUGAGGUGCGAAAGCAUGGGGAGCAAACAGGAUUAGAUACCCUGGUAGUCCAUGCCGUAAAACGAUGUCUACUAGCCGUUGGGGCCUUUGAGGCUUUAGUGGCGCAGCUAACGCGAUAAGUAGACCGCCUGGGGAGUACGGUCG
rnacentral:rRNA from 1 species